AUUGAACGCUGGCGGCAGGCCUAACACAUGCAAGUCGAGCGAGCGGCGGACGGGUGAGUACUGUAUGGGGACUGCACGCGAGAGGGGGAUAAAUACUGGAAACGGUGGCUAAUACCGCAUACUAUCGGAUAACCCAUAUGGGAUUAGCGAGUAGGUGGGGGAAAGGCUCACCUAGGCGACGAUCUCGAGCUGGUCUGAGAGGAUGAUCAGCCACACUGGGACUGAGACACGGCCCAGAGUCCUACGGAGGCAGCAGUGGGGAAUAUUGCACAAUGGGCGCAAUCCGGAUGCAGCCAUGCCGCGUGUAUGAAGAAGGCCUUAGGGUUGUAAAGUACUUGCAGCCGGGAGGCGUUACCCGCAGAAGAAGCACCGGCUAACUCCGUGCCAGCAGCCGCGGUAAUAC
rnacentral:rRNA from 1 species